rnacentral:rRNA from 1 species
GGAACUUGCCAGAGAUGGCUUGGUGCCUUCGGGAACCGUGAGACAGGUGCUGCAUGGCUGUCGUCAGCUCGUGUUGUGAAAUGUUGGGUUAAGUCCCGCAACGAGCGCAACCCUUAUCCUUUGUUGCCAGCGGUCCGGCCGGGAACUCAAAGGAGACUGCCAGUGAUAAACUGGAGGAAGGUGGGGAUGACGUCAAGUCAUCAUGGCCCUUACGAGUAGGGCUACACACGUGCUACAAUGGCAUAUACAAAGAGAAGCGACCUCGCGAGAGCAAGCGGACCUCAUAAAGUAUGUCGUAGUCCGGAUUGGAGUCUGCAACUCGACUCCAUGAAGUCGGAAUCGCUAGUAAUCGUGGAUCAGAAUGCCACGGUGAAUACGUUCCCGGGCCUUGUACACACCGCCCGUCACACCAUGGGAGUGGGUUGCAAAAGAAGUAGGUAGCUUAACCUUCGGGAGGGCGCUUACCACUUUGUGAUUCAUGACUGGGGUGAAGUCGUAACAAGGUAACCGUAGGGGAACCUGCGGUUGGA